UUUUUGACCAUUAUCCUAUCCGAAAUAGAACUCGAAAUGUUAGGCUUGAUGGUUUUCAUGUUUAUUCUACCCUUGCCACCCUUCAUGAACCCUACUCUUUUCAUGAAGCCUCUUCUAACCCUCUAUGGCAGCAUGUAUUGAAAGAAGAAUAUAAUGCUUUAGAGAAAAAUUAAACUUGAGACUUCGUUGACUUACCUCA
rnacentral:lncRNA from 1 species